UUCUUACGAAGGUAUGCUUAAAGAGGGGCUUGCGCCACAUUAGUUAGUUGGUAGGGUAAAAGCCUACCAAGACGAUGAUGUGUAGCUGGACUGAGAGGUUGAACAGCCACAUUGGGACUGAGACACGGCCCAAACUCCUACGGGAGGCAGCAGUAGGGAAUUUUCGGCAAUGGAGGAAACUCUGACCGAGCAACGCCGCGUGAACGAUGAAGUAUUUCGGUAUGUAAAGUUCUUUUAUUGAAGAAGAAAAAGUAGUGGAAAAACUAUAUUGACGUUAUUCAAUGAAUAAGCCCCGGCUAACUAUGUGCCAGCAGCCGCGGUAAGACAUAGGGGGCGAGCGUUAUCCGGAAUUAUUGGGCGUAAAGGGUGCGUAGGCUGUUAGAUAAGUCUAUAAUUUAAUUUCAGUGCUUAACGCUGUCUUGUUAUAGAAACUGUCUUGACUAGAGUGAGAUAGAGGCAAGCGGAAUUCCAUGUGUAGCGGUAAAAUGUGUAAAUAUAUGGAGGAACACCAGAAGCGUAGGCGGCUUGCUGGGUCUUUACUGACGCUGAGGCACGAAAGCGUGGGUAGCAAACAGGAUUAGAUACCCUGGUAGUCCACGCCGUAAACGAUGAGUACUAAGUGUCGGGGUAAAACUCGGUACUGAAGUUAACACAUUAAGUACUCCGCCUGAGUAGUACGUACGCAAGUAUGAAACUUAAAGGAAUUGACGGGACUCCGCACAAGCGGUGGAUCAUGUUGUUUAAUUCGAAGAUACACGAAAAAUCUUACCAGGUCUUGACAUACUCUGCAAAGCUAUAGAAAUAUAGUGGAGGUUAUCAGGGAUACAGGUGGUGCAUGGUUGUCGUCAGUUCGUGUCGUGAGAUGUUAGGUUAAGUCCUAAAACGAGCGCAACCCUUGUCGUUAAUUGCCAGCACGUAAUGGUGGGGACUUUAGCGAGACUGCCAAUUAAACAUUGGAGGAAGGUGAGGAUUACGUCAAAUCAUCAUGCCCCUUAUGAUCUGGGCUACAAACGUGAUACAAUGGCUGUGACAAAGAGUAGCUGAAACGCGAGUUUUUAGCCMAUCUCAAAAAAGCAGUCUCAGUUCGGAUUGAAGUCUGUAACUCGACUUCAUG
rnacentral:rRNA from 1 species